rnacentral:rRNA from 1 species
UGGGGAAUCUUGCGCAAUGGGCGAAAGCCUGACGCAGCCAUGCCGCGUGUAUGAUGAAGGUCUUAGGAUUGUAAAAUACUUUCACCGGUGAAGAUAAUGACUGUAGCCGGAGAAGAAGCCCCGGCUAACUUCGUGCCAGCAGCCGCGGUAAUACGAAGGGGGCUAGCGUUGCUCGGAAUUACUGGGCGUAAAGGGAGCGUAGGCGGACAUUUAAGUCAGAGGUGAAAUCCCGGAGCUUAACUUCGGAACUGCCUUUGAUACUGGGUGUCUUGAGUGUGAGAGAGGUAUGUGGAACUCCGAGUGUAGAGGUGAAAUUCGUAGAUAUUCGGAAGAACACCAGUGGCGAAGGCGACAUACUGGCUCAUUACUGACGCUGAGGCUCGAAAGCGUGGGGAGCAAACAGGAUUAGAUACCCAUGUAGUCCCUGAGCGGGCUGGCAAGGCGCAU